rnacentral:rRNA from 1 species
ACACUUUUCCGGGGGAAUUCGGUUCACUCCCAACCCCAAUGUGAACGUUACCAAUCUGUUGCCUCGGCGGGAUUCUCUUGCCCCGGGCGCGUCGCAGCCCCGGAUCCCAUGGCGCCCGCCGGAGGACCAACUCCAAACUCUUUUUUUCUCUCCGUCGCGGCUCCCGUCGCGGCUCUGUUUUAUUUUUGCUCUGAGCCUUUCUCGGCGACCCUAGCGGGCGUCUCGAAAAUGAAUCAAAACUUUCAACAACGGAUCUCUUGGUUCUGGCAUCGAUGAAGAACGCAGCGAAAUGCGAUAAGUAAUGUGAAUUGCAGAAUUCAGUGAAUCAUCGAAUCUUUGAACGCACAUUGCGCCCGCCAGUAUUCUGGCGGGCAUGCCUGUCCGAGCGUCAUUUCAACCCUCGAACCCCUCCGGGGGGUCGGCGUUGGGGAUCGGCCCCUCACCGGGCCGCCCCCGAAAUACAGUGGCGGUCUCGCCGCAGCCUCUCCUGCGCAGUAGUUUGCACACUCGCACCGGGAGCGCGGCGCGGCCACAGCCGUAAAACACCCCAAACUUCUGAAAUGUUGACCUCGGAUCAGGUAGGAAUACCCGCUGAACUUAAGCAUAUCAAUAAGCGAGGGAAA